rnacentral:rRNA from 1 species
GAUGAACGCUGGCGGCGUGCCUAAUACAUGCAAGUCGAGCGAACGGACGAGAAGCUUGCUUCUCUGAUGUUAGCGGCGGACGGGUGAGUAACACGUGGAUAACCUACCUAUAAGACUGGGAUAACUUCGGGAAACCGGAGCUAAUACCGGAUAAUAUUUUGAACCGCAUGGUUCAAAAGUGAAAGACGGUCUUGCUGUCACUUAUAGAUGGAUCCGCGCUGCAUUAGCUAGUUGGUAAGGUAACGGCUUACCAAGGCAACGAUACAUAGCCGACCUGAGAGGGUGAUCGGCCACACUGGAACGGAGACACGGUCCAGACUCCUACGGGAGGCAGCAGUAGGGAAUAUUCCGCAAUGGGCGAAAGCAUGACGGAGCAACGCCGCGUGAGUGAUGAAGGUCUUCGGAUCGUAAAACUCUGUUAUUAGGGAAGAACAUAUGUGUAAGUAACUGUGCACAUCUUGACGGUACCUAAUCAGAAAGCCACGGCUAACUACGUG